rnacentral:rRNA from 1 species
AACGAACGCUGGCGGCAUGCCUAACACAUGCAAGUCGAACGGGAUCCUAGCUUGCUAGGUGAGAGUGGCGGACGGGUGAGUAACACGUGGGAAUCUGCCUUUUGGUUCGGGAUAACCGCGGGAAACUGCGGCUAAUACCGAAUGCCCUCGAGAGAGGAAAGAUUUAUCGCCAGAAGAGGAGCCCGCGUCCGAUUAGGUAGUUGGUGGGGUAAAGCCUACCAAGCCGACGAUCGGUAGCUGGUCUGAGAGGAUGAUCAGCCACACUGGGACUGAGAUACGGCCCCAGACUCCUACGGGAGGCAGCAGUGGGGAAUAUUGGACAAUGGGGGCAACCCUGAUCCAGCAAUGCCGCGUGAGUGAUG